AAUGGAACUUAACGGUCGUUACGUAACUUCCUUUUAAAACAGGAGUUUAACGUAUUUUUUUAUUUGUUUGUUUGUUUGUUUGUUUAUUUGUCACCACCACUACUGUUUUCAGUUCUCCGUGUAUUCAAGCUUCUCCUUUUGCUCAUCCAGUGGGGUGCCGUCCAGCUGCAGCAGCGUGGGGGCGAUGCACACCGCCAGGUUGUAGGCGUCCAUCUUGUUGGUGUCAGCGCUCUCGACGAUGUGAUGGAGGACGCACACGAGAUGCUGCAGGAGGAGUUUGUUCGCCACCGGGAGCUGGUCUACCACCCUGAGGGGGGAAGGAAGAAAAGAAAGGAGAACAGGAAGAAGAGAGCUCUCUGCUGGGGGUCUUCAUUGUCCAGAGCUGUCAUCCAGGUGUCAUAAAGUUCAGAUGCCAGCAGGCUGCCAGGAAGAUCCUUCAGAAAGCUCUGCAACAAACAAGAGAGCUUGAUUAGGUGUAGCUGGCACUGGUGCUUACUUUGAGCAGCCCGACGAGCAGCACGACUGGUUGGCCCUCCAUGUCCACCUCCACGCCGCUGUUCAGCUGCUCCUUGAUGUCGUUCAUGUUCUUUCUGUUGCACGGCUUCCGAAACACUCCCUCUGUCGACGGCCCGUUCUUCCUCAGCAACACCAGCAUCUCCUGGUGAAGUGACGGGGAGCAAAGGGUAGAGGAGAAGAGGCGACCUGUCGGCAAAAUAACAGCAUGGUAUGAGUUACUAAUCCACAGAGAGAACCAAACAGGCCACGCAGAAACAGUAGGAGGAAUGAGUCGAAGAGACAACCCACAGUCUCUUUUAACAACUCUGGUGGAAAGUGUAACUCAGUCAUGGGAACAGGAAGCAGCGUCACGGCGGGCCCCAAGUCAGACACCUUCCACUUCCUCAUAGACUCGACUUCGCUGUGGUUUGGUGUCCAUCAGUGGAAACAUGACGACGACACAGAUACGUGAACCUGCACGCUCACCUGAAAGCCGGGGGGGGUCACGUUUUGAUAGCUUGACCUCAUUAAUGCCAGGCGGCUCGCGGUGCCACGGCACACGGUUUCUCGCAGGCUCCGGAAUCACCAUCAUUUGUGUGAGAAGGAAUGUGAAAGUUUCACACACUGAAUCAUUACUAGAGACGUAUCGUCCGAUCACAUGUCUCGUUUUCAAACAAAACAACUCAGAACCCGUCGGGGGAUUCAUCAUUUUGGUAGUCAAAAACAGCUUUAUGGUUUUAUUAAUUACUUUGCGAGAAACGUGGGAGUCCAUGAACAACACAAAUGACUGCAUUUCUCAACUGCAGUCAUUCAUAACCUUUAAUGAGGACAACAUGCCAUUUACUGAAGAGAUACAUGUACUUUCAUUCCUUUAAGUCGAGCAUAUUAAAAGGAAAAAAGAUCAAAACAGUGUUUCUCCUGUGGUUAAUUUUUAUUGUAAAGGCCAGUAUUUCCAGAUAGUCACUUGACAUGGAGUUUGGUUUGGCCGCCAGCUCCGCACUUCCUAUUUUGCAAUCCCUUGUGAUGCUGCAGGACGACUUUCUCUUUAGUACUUCCCUGUUUUCAUGUAGGUCACAAAUCAUAUGACCAUUUACUACAACUGAGAAUAUUUCAAGAACAGCCUCAAAUGUCAUUUGUCUUGUGACUGACAGAAAAGGACGGUCAAAACAGAACGUUUGUUUCAAAACAGCAAGUUUGUGUGUGUGCCUAUUUGUGUUACAUAAAACCAAUUUAACCUCAGGUAUCUUUAAAAUAAAUAGUUUCAAUGAGUUUAUUCUUUGUUAGGAACACUCUAGCCUCCAAAGAGUUCACUCAUCUUUCCGAGUUUUGGGAAACACAACAAUAACAAAAAUACCGAUGUAAAGAUCUGUAUGGUUAAUAUGAAGCUACAGCCAGUUAGCUUAGCUUGGCAAGACUCCAUUUACAUGUGCUGGCUCAGCUUAACUCAGUUUGACAAAUGUGUAAUCCUGCUGAUUAACCGACCGACUGACAAGCAGGCGCGGGUGAAAACAUGAUCUCCUUGAGGGAGAUAAUAAAGAAAGUGGUUCUCAGGAGGGAUCAACCUGGUUGACAAAUCAAUAGUUUCAAGUCUUGGUGCUGAGUUAACUAAUCAAAAUGUUUGUGUUUUAAUGUGUAAAAGUUUUUCCAACCAGCAUAAAAACAUAUCUCGAUGUUAAAAACCCACGUCAGUCCUGUCGACUCUGAUGUGAAAUAAACAAAUACUGACUACAGGAGCGCAGUUUCUAACCUUAGACCUAGCAAGAAGACAUCAAACUGAUGUUAAAAACACAAACAAUAGGAACAAAUGACUAACUCUGCCGACCGUAUCAGUGGUGAAUUUGAUUCUUAAAGUGGAUAGCUCUAUAUUUUGUUGGAGUAUCUGGAGCUGACAGUCCGUAGCUAUGUGAGAUGUUUGCGGUCUCUUGAAGGUAUAACGAUGACAGCUUUGACAGCAGGUCUUGCAGGUCUGUAUUGCACAGGAAGAAUGAAAAAUAGCACAUUUUAUAUUAAAAUUGAAUUAUUCUCACGCCUCAAGAUUUCAUCUUUUGUUCAAAUUGCCCAGCCCUAAGAAAAAAACAAUCAACCAAAAUCGUAUUUGAGGUGAUGUCCCCUCCUCUUCACAUCCGGUGAAAGCAGGUUCACUGUGCCACAGAUAUUCAUGGGUACUCACGCACACAUACGAUUGUCCUUGAGCAUGUUUAUUCAGGCCCAUGCAACAGAAACCUUAAUGUGCUGUUGUUUGUAUGCAAGUCAUCGCCUGUGAGUCCAGUGUGCG